UUAGACAAAAAAAUUCAUGAUUUUUAAAAAGUCAGAAGUAUUUUUAAACAAUUAAAAAUAUACACAAAAAUAUUUAAUUCAUGAAAAAUAUCAAAAUUAAUCCAAAGAAUAAUUUUAAUUCAGAAAAUGAAAGAGAAAAAUAUUUAAAGAUUUUUGGUGAAAGUCCCAUAUUUUUUUAUUAAAAAUUAAAUUAAUAUGAAUUAAACAAAAUAAAUGGAUUAAAUGAAAAAUCAGAAA
rnacentral:lncRNA from 1 species